UGCCCGUUUUAAGUGUCUGCCUAAAUGUAAUCAUUCAGUGUAUACUUUUCUGUGUACUUUUCAUGAGAUUCAGCCUUGUUGUCCUAUGUCAUAAUUUUUCACUUUUAUUGCUCUGUACUAGUAUUUCACUAUAUAAAUAUACCACAAGUCAUGUAUCCAUUCUACUGUUGAUUUCCAGUUGGGUUGUUUUAAGUUGUUGGCUCUUAAAGAUAAUGCUGCUAUGAAUAUUCCUGAAUAUAUAUGUCUUAAAUGAACAUAGGCAUGCAUUUCUUUUGUGAAUAUGCUUAGUUAUCCUGGGUCAUAGGUUUUGUGUAUGAUCAACUUUAGUAGAUACUAGAAAACAGUUUUACGAAGUGGCUGUACCAAUUUCCAUACUCACUAGUGGUAUGGAAGAGUUCCAGUUGCUCCACAUCCUUACUAACACUUGUUAUUGUCAGCAUGUAAUGAGAACUGUGAAAUUGUCAUUGCAUAACUUUGUUGUGUUAGUCAUUCUGGUAAUAACUGUUGAAGCUGAACCCUUCUCUUAUGUUUAUGGACUAUUUGUAUAUGCUUCUUUUGGAAAGUGCUUUUCAAAUCUUUUAUCCAUACUUUUGUUCUACAGCAACAUCAUGAAGAUACUCUCCUCUGUUUUCUUUAGAAGUUUUUUUUUUUGGUUGUUUUAUUUUACAUUUAGGUCAACAGUCCAUUUGGAAUUAUGUACAAAGUACAGGUUAAAAUUUACUUUUUUCAUAAAGGUAUACAACUGAUCCAGCAUUAUUCAUUACAAAGACUAUCCUUUUGCCCCUGAUCUGCUAUGCUACUUUUGUCAUAAAAUCAAUUGUUUAUAUGUGUUUGGAUCUGUUUCUGGACUUUUAAAUUUGACAUAUUAGUUACCAGCUAAUAUGGUUUGGAAUUGGAACGCUGGUCUGUACUAUCUGAUACUCUGAAGUGCCUGACUGCAUUUGGCCUGUAGCCUUAGCAUGAAGUUCUGAGAAAGUAAAACCAAUUAAUGCAGAAAAUCUACUCUGAAUAUAACAACCAGAAAGAAUAGUAGAGAUUUUUUUCAAUCAUAUUCCCUUAUUUUUAAAAUGAGAAAACAGGUCUACCCAAGUGUGCUGAAUAUCCUGUUUACCCAGCCACAUCCUCCCUCCACCCUUCUCCACCUUCUGUGCCCUUGGAGGUCCCCACAACAGUGGGUUCCCUUGCCUUAAAAUUUCUAGUUCAUUCAGUUUAUCGGGAACAUUGACUUGAGGAUGGAGGAAAGUGAGGUCAGAUAUUUAUUCCCUUAGCUAUCUCCCAGCAGGUUGACUGAUUCUCUCCUAAUAUGGCUCCUGGUGAAUGACCCUCAACCCUCUUCUUCCAGAUGCCAAUGAUCACUUAUUUCUUUUGUCCCAGGCCAGGGAUAUUAACAGUAUCCUACCAUUACUAGCCCCAGGAGAACACACUGAGUUUCUGAUACUGCAUGUACUAGACAAGAGAAUGGGAGGUGGGACCCAAAGAAGAGUCAAAGGGCAUAUGUAAUUCUCUUGAUGAAGGUUCCUAGAAGCUGCUACAUGACACUUCUGCUCACAUUUCAUUGACCAGAACUUAGUCAUUUGGCCACAGCUAUCUGUAAAGCUGAGAAAUGUUUUAGAUAGGUAAGUGCCAAACUAAAAAUCUUACAUGCUGAGAAUAACAGUUUCUACCACCCCUUCCAUUUAACUCAAGUUAUUUAGCGUACUCUGGGCUACUCACUUUUCUGAGAUACAGGGAUGAAUGAUGAAUGGCCCUGGUCCAGUCUAAUACAGCAUAGUGAUUCGUCCCUCCAGCAAAUGACUAUGUCAGUCCCUGUGCUAAGCAUUAGAGGUUCCAGAGUACACAAGACAGUGUUCCUGCUCAAGACAGUCAGUAAUGAAUAUAUACUGCUCUUAUAAGUGUUACCCAGGGGAGAAGUGGCGGGGAAUAGAAGAGAUCUGUCUCUGAAGGGAGACCACAAGUUUGCCGUGUGAAUGAGGAGACAGACCUUCCAGACUCAGACACAACAUGAAGAAAUCACAGAGCAUGAAAGUACAGUAUUUCCAGGGAGCAGCAAGGAUUCUAGGGGGCUUAAGAGCAUAACCUGCAUGGAGGAGAGUGGGUAAAGAUGGCUGGACAAGUCCAUAGUGGCCAAGGAAGGCAGGACACCGUGGGCCAGUGCAGGCAUCUAACAAUGCCUCACUCACCCCACCCGCCAACCUCUUGGGCCGUUCAUGCCCACGGAGGGCUUGCAAUCAGUCACAAAUAAAUAAUAAUAUCAUAUCAGGAAGUACAUCAAGCUCAGGCCCAAGUUAUAUCCUUUGGAAAAUUUACCAGAGAUCUGAAUCUUGAAAUUUCAGCCUCUUUCUUGGCUUGAACAAUCUGAUGGAAUUCUGGAAUAACUUGCUUGGCCUGACUCACUCCCAAUGUUGGGAAGAAAAGCAGGAGAGAAGGGGGGAUCAGGAGGCCUCUCACUCCCAUUUAGCGUUCAGAAACGGCUCCAAGUGGUUUGUUUUGCCAUCAACACAAAUGUCUAAAAUGAAAAGUUUUUUUUGGUCUUCCCACAGGUACAUUCUACAAAAGAAGAGGAGGACAAAGAAUGACGAAAAUGAAGGAGCAUUAUGCAUUUUCAUAAGUACCUAUGAUGGACCAGAUGUUCAUCCAGCUUUUGGGGCUAAACGGAGAAAUUUGGACACAGAAUACACACAGGGAGAUAAAGACAAGAUUAGAGUGAUGAUUCUACAAGCCAAAGAAUGCCAAAGAUUGUCAGCAAAAUAUCGGAAGUUGGAAAGAGACCUGGAACAGAUUCCCUCUCAGAGCCCUCAGAAGGAAUCAACUCUGCCAACACCAUGAUCUCAGACUUCUAGCCUCCAGAACUGUGAGACAAUAAAUUUCUGGUAUUGAAGCCACCUAGUUUGUGGUGCUUUGUUACAGCAGCUCCAGGAACCUGAAACAUGGGACACACUGUGUUGUCUUUCCAGCUCACUGUUGUUCUGGGAAACCUCCCUCCCUCCCCAUUUACUGUGAGAGCAGCCAUGUUGAACAACGUGACCCCAGUUUUGACUGGAGUUCACCAAGAACUUGCAUUUCAGACCAGGGAGCAAGUCUCCAGUGACGGAAGCUGAAAAAUACAAAACUUGGUAACUGCCAACAACUGUGUUUUUCACAACAAAGAGAGAGCCAGUCUGCCACAAGACAAAGCUGGCACCCAGAGAAGCAGAGACGAGGCUGGGAGGGAGCGCUGGCGGCUUUCCAGCGCUGGCUCCAUCGGUGCCGCAGGCUCCAGCUCUGUGGGGACCUGGCUGUGGCCCGAAUUCCAGAAGACUGCCGUGACUGUCUGAUAUAACAGGAAUUCUGAGCCAAACUGGACAGUGUGCAGCCACUCCUGUGGAAGGACCCACCUGCACUGCUCUGGCCUGACACUGGUGAGGAGCAAGGUGGUACUGUAUCCUUGGAUGAAGUCUCAUGACAAGAAACAGAGAGGUGAUGGAAUUUUCCAGUGGACUCCAAGUUCCAUGGAGAGAGGCAUGGAAACCUGUACUCUUCUGGGUGCCUGGAAAGAGUGCUCACUAGAACCUCCACUAACCUCUUCUGAAGGCAGAGGCAUCCCUUCUGGAGGAAUGUAGUCCACAGGGAGCAUGGCUUGGCUAAUGGCUGGACUCACUUCUAAUGAAUAGAAUUCAGCAAAAGUGAUGUUAUCAUUUCCGAGAUUAUGCUACAAAAAGACUGCGACUUCUGCCUCACUCAUCCUGCCAUACUGUGAACUGCUCUAUGAAGAGAGCUACGUAGCAAGAAAUUGAUGGCUCUGUCCAAGGACAGCAAGAACUCAACACCUGUCAACUGCCAUGUGGGUGAGCUUAGGAGAUCUCCCCUCAUUUGAGCCUUAAGAUGAUUUCAACACUAACUAACACCUUAUAGCAUUUUCGUGAGAAAUCUUAAGGGCAAGACAGACAGAAAGGCUACACUCAAAUUCCUGACCCAUAGAAGCUACCAGAUAUUGUUGGUUGUUUUACGCCAUUAAGUUAGGUUGUUUGUUAUACAGCAAUAGAUAACUAACACACACACAUAACACCCCCAGGAAUACAAGAUUGGGAGCUUUUCACCAAACAC